UUUCCGUAGGUGAACCUGCGGAAGGAUCAUUCAU
rnacentral:rRNA from 2 species